UGGGGAAUCUUGCGCAAUGGGCGAAAGCCUGACGCAGCGACGCCGCGUGGGGGAAGAAGGCUUUCGGGUUGUAAACCCCUUUCAGGAAGGACGAAGCCACUCGGGUUAAUAGCCCAGAGGGUGACGGUACUUCCAGAAGAAGCCCCGGCUAACUACGUGCCAGCAGCCGCGGUAAUACGUAGGGGGCAAGCGUUGUCCGGAUUUAUUGGGCGUAAAGAGCGUGUAGGCGGCUUGGUAGGUCCAUUGUGAAAACUCGAGGCUCAACCUCGAGACGCCGGUGGAAACCAUCAGGCUAGAGUCCGGAAGAGGAGAGUGGAAUUCCUGGUGUAGCGGUGAAAUGCGCAGAUAUCAGGAAGAACACCCGUGGCUAAGGCGGCUCUCUAGGACGGUACUGACGCUGAGACGCGAAAGCGUGGGGAGCGAACAG
rnacentral:rRNA from 1 species